rnacentral:rRNA from 1 species
UACGGAGGGUGCAAGCGUUGCUCGGAAUCACUGGGCGUAAAGCGUGCGCAGGCGGUUUCUUAAGUCAGAUGUGAAAGCCCCGGGCUUAACCUGGGAACUGCGUUUGAAACUGGGAGACUUGAGUGUGGCAGAGGGGGGUGGAAUUCCACGUGUAGCAGUGAAAUGCGUAGAUAUGUGGAGGAACACCGAUGGCGAAGGCAGCCCCCUGGGUUAACACUGACGCUCAUGCACGAAAGCGUGGGGAGCAAACAGG